GUGACCUCCUUCUUUGCCGUAUCUCAAAGCACCAAUGCCACUGGUGGUGUCAUGUUUUCUGUUUUCCAAGGCUGGUUAGACCUUGAGUUGUUACUCGGAUUUAGCUUUGGAUCCUCCUUGCUUGGAUUACUCUCUGGUAGGACUCUGAAUGUUUCUUGACCGUGGUUUUCUCCUUUAGAUUUUUCUUGUCUGUCCCAUCUAUUUGUGGUGCUCUUCUUUUCUCCUCCAAGAGCAAGGCAUCACUGGAUAUGUCUAAUGAGAACAUGUAGAUGGCACAUUGAUAUAUAUAAAUAUAUAAAUAUUUCGGCAAGUUAUCUCAGGAAGAGGCCUUCACAUUUAUAUAUUAAUGUGAAGGCCUCUUCCUGAGAUAACUUGCCGAAGGAAUUAGAUAAGCGUGCGAGAAAGAUGGAUAGAAGAAAGCUUCCUGCAUUCCUUCUGCUAACCUCGCUUCCAUUGUGAUGCUCCAUUCAAAGCGAAAGAGAAGGCAAGCCGGUGGAAACGGCUGUUCUCUGAAAAGCCAACAGAAACUCCAGUAGCAAGGAAUGUCGUGUGCAGCACUUCCCCUUGUUUUUUUUUUCUUCUUCUUCUUUCCCUCCCAGUUAUCUGCACGGCUGGCAGCGCAGACAUGCCAGGCUCCAUGCCAGAAAUACUUUCCGAGCCGUUCCAGCUCUCAACUGCUGCUCUGUUUUUUCUUUUUUCUCCUUGCCAGCUGGCACAUCGAUGCCCCAGCAGCUUUUGGCAGCUGGGGAGGAGGUUUCAUCGGUAUGUGGAGGUCGGGGAGGCUUGUUGGCAGGUGGCGGAGCAGCUGGAUCGGGUCCCGUGCUCUCGACAUGACAGAGAUGCCCACCCAAAUGGAGGCUUGGCGCUCUCCUGCCUGCCUGUUUUCAGCUCAGCUUGAAUGCCCUGCUGUGAAUGGGGGGCUGUCCCACGAACCCUCUAAGGAUUAAAUCUCCUUCGUCAAGAAUAUCAAUGCAUUGUAUUCCCCCGUCCAUUGUCUGGAGCAAGCCUGUUGCCUAUUAGGUUCAGGAAUGCGUAGGUGAGUGUGUGCAUCUCUCACAGCAAAAUGCACUUAGAAAUGCUGCAUUCUUGGUGUUCUGUCUCGUCUGUGUCAGUCGUGUUAUUUGUCCUGCAUUUAAGCUUGCAAAAAUCAUUUUAAGAGAGAG
rnacentral:lncRNA from 1 species